GGCUUGAUAGCUCAGUUGGUUAGAGCUGUGUCCUGAUACGCCAAGACUGCAGGUUUAAUUCCUGGUCAGGGCA
rfam:Myotis lucifugus cont2.51926, whole genome shotgun sequence.